rnacentral:rRNA from 1 species
AUUAUACCGCGAAACUGCGAAUGGCUCAUUAUAUAAGUUAUCGUUUAUUUGAUAGCACAUUACUACAUGGAUAACUGUGGUAAUUCUAGAGCUAAUACAUGCUAAAAAUCCCGACUUCGGAAGGGAUGUAUUUAUUAGAUUAAAAGCCAACGCCCUUCGGGGCUUCCUGGUGAUUCAUAAUAACUUUUCGAAUCGCAUGGCCUUGCGCCGGCGAUGGUUCAUUCAAAUUUCUUCCCUAUCAACUUUCGAUGCGAAGGUAUUGUCUUCGCAUGGUUGCAACGGGUAACGGAGGGUUAGGGCUCGACCCCGGAGAAGGAGCCUGAGAAACGGCUACUACAUCCAAGGAAGGCAGCAGGCGCGCAAAUUACCCAAUCCCGACACGGGGAGGUAGUGACAAUAAAUACUGAUACAGG